AGUGCACCCUAGGCUGCGGGAGCGCGAGAGGAGGGGGGCACCCUGUUUCGGCGCGAGUAGCACGGGCCCGGGGGUGGGCCCCAAGGCCCGGAGGUCUGCGCCUGGCAGCCAAGAGUGCGCCACGGGCACCCAAGCCCUGGCCGCGUCCGGGAGGCCCCGGGCCUGCCCGCAGAACAAGCUUUAAUUCGUCCGAACUAACACAGGGCGCGCCCUCCCGCGGCCGGCCGGGGCAAUGGUAAGUGAGCUGGGGCUUCUUCGAGGGGGGUCUCCGCCCCAGUCCAGGAGGGUAACGAAUGGGAGGUGCUCUCCAGCCCCGCGCCUGGGGUCUUGUUAGCCUCAGGCGCCCGGGCACCGCUCGGGAGAAUCGGGGACGACCGCAGUGCCUCUCUGGGGACAUUUCCUAGCCGACCACCCCGCUUGCCGCAGAUGCUUCCAAGUGCCCCAUUUUGUGGUGCUCAGGCAGCUGCCACCGUUCCCCCAAAACCAAAUGGCGGCUUCAGGGUGUGGCAGGGUGGGCGAGUGUCAGGUUGCGACCCCCGGAGGAGGUCCCGCGGGGAUGCGGGAGGAGGGAGGAAGGAAGGAGGGGAAUUGCUCUUCGCUCCCGGCCACACCCCUCCCCUCGACUCCUCGGAGGGCAAUUGAGAGGAGGUCCUGCAGGGAGCUCUCGCGGCAGCCCCACUACUGGUACCUCCGCGGAGGCUUGCGGAAACCUGGCGUCCAUGAGCUCCGCUGGGUCCCCCUCUAGUGGGAUGCAGAGAUGUCAGACUUUUCUCGGAGCCAGAGAAACCUCCGCUUGGGGAAGCUGAGACCACAGAGGGGGCACUCCAAGGAGAGAGCGGACCCCUCUGGGGAGAAGGAACGUAGAUUGCAGCCGGGGCUCUUGCAAAGGCCAAGCCCCUCUCCCAAAGAGGACGACCCUGGGCGCGUGCGCCGUCUGUCCAUGACCAGGAAAUCCUCCAAGGUGUGAGACGUCAGCCAAGGUGAGGAUAAGGCCAUCCAAAUUUCCUAACGGUGGAUUCUGAAAUGGCCAGGGUGCUGAGCCCUGGGAGUGGCGCUGGGGAGGAGGAAGGGCCAGCUAAGGGCUGCAUGGCUCCUCAGGGGCUGCAUGGGUGCAGCAAAGACCUCAGUUGCAAAAAUGCAAGGUGUGUGCAUGCUGGGCUGGGGUGCGUAGAGCAGGCAGUGCAGGAAGAGAAGCAACGCUGCCUAGACGUGUGGCCCACAGAGGAGUACCUGCCGCGGAGCAGAAGCCAUCGAAGAAUGAGCAGUCGCACACUGGGAAGGCCUCGAUUUCCUCCAUUCCUGGAGUUUCCUCAUUAGCUUGUCCUAGGGCAAAUGGGGUCCGUGCCAGCGCCGUGAAAGGGAAAGGGCUGAGCGCCGACAGCCGUCACGGGAGUGGUCGCUGGAAAUGUGAGUCUGGAGCUGGUUGCAGUGGCAUCCGGGGCAGGGAUACCUUCCGGAGCCAUUGUGGAGGUGAUGGAAGCGGCAGGAAAAGGAGGACGGCAGCUUGGGAGACAGAAGGGGAAUGGCCCGAGAGGAGUAGGGGAGAGCAGGCGCCGGCCCCAGAGGAGAGAGCUUCGGGAAGGAGGCCUGGUCAGUCCUGGCACAGUGUACAGCCCCAGGGGCCUGGCUCCCCACCAGAUGGCCCUUGGCUGGACGUUGCUUGUUUCCACCAUUGGUUUUUUUUUUUUCAAAAAAAACAAAUUAGUUCUGGGCGAUUUCAGAUAAAAAUGCAGCCCUGCUUUCAGACUUCCCUUUAAGAAAUGGGAAGAUUCCAUGUGCUGGUGAGACAGGGACCCUAGAUGUAGUCAAAGUAAGGUGAGGGCCUCCGGAGGGGGCAGGGCAGAAUAUUUGUAGUCAGAGCAAUGUACAUGCAAAGAAACUCCCAAGCUAAAACUCUAUGUUAAACAUUGAGCUCUAGAAUCAUUCUAAAGUGAAAUCAGUUAAUGUUCCCCAGAUAAAGAAGAGUAGCACAUGUUUUAUUAUGCGAAUCAUUUGUAACCAUG